CGCAGGCACUUUGUUGACUCUAGAGAACCUCGGGCCAAUCGCACGUCCCCGUGACGGCGACUUUGCAUUCAGAUGUCAUCCAUAUCAACUUUCGAUGCCAGUUUCUGUGCCUACCAUGGUGACCACGGGUAACGGGGAAUCAGGGUUGGAUUAUGGGGAGGGAAUAUGAGAAACGGCUACCACAUCCAAGGAAGGCAGCAGGUGCGCAAAUUACCCACUCCCGACGCGGGGAGGUAGUGACG